CAGCAGCCGCGGGAAAACGGAGGGGGCUAGCGUUGUUCGGAAUUACUGGGCGUAAAGCGCACGUAGGCGGCUUGGUAAGUUAGAGGUGAAAGCCCGGAGCUCAACUCCGGAAUUGCCUUUAAGACUGCCGAGCUAGCAGGUGAGAGAGGUAAGUGGAAUUCCGAGUGUAGAGGUGAAAUUCGUAGAUAUUCGGAAGAACACCAGUGGCGAAGGCGGCUUACUGGCUCAUACUGGACGCUGAGGUGCGAAAGCGUGGGGAGCAAACAGGAUUAGAUACCCCUGUAGUCCCUGUCUCUUAUAC
rnacentral:rRNA from 1 species